CCAUUAGUUCCAUUAGCAGCAACUAUCGUUGCUCCUGAGGUGGAACAGAAAGCAGAAGCAGAUGAUUAUGAGAAAUUGGCAAAAGAGCUAACAAAUGCUUCUCCUUUGAAGAUUAUGGAUAAAGCCCUUGAGAAAUUUGGAAGUGAAAUUGCCAUUGCUUUCAGUGGCGCUGAAGAUGUUGCUUUGUUAGAGUAUGCUCGUUUAACUGGUCGUCCAUUUAGAGUAUUCAGCCUUGAUACUGGG
rnacentral:misc_RNA from 1 species